rnacentral:misc_RNA from 1 species
UACUGAUAAGGCAUUGCCCGAUUAUGUAGCCGGUUCAGCAGGUCUUCUUCCUGAGAUUCCGAUCGAGGUGCCAAGGGGCACCAUGCUGUCCUCAGUGCGCCUUCUCGCGACGAAAGAUGCGAAAUUGGUGAGCGCACUUGCCAAUGGCGAGCGGGCGCCCGUCUUCACCGGCACGGAACGCGGUCACCCGAGCUUUGAAGUACAGGUAGCCAUACCGCCCGGGCAAUCCGGCGAAUUGAGCUUCCACCUUUCCGAACCGACGUCUCCGGGUGCACCGCGUGUUCCGAUUCAGCCGUUGGUGGACACCGUCACUCCUGCGGUAUCGGUGCCCGAAUGCUCGGGAUGAGCCGCAGGCGCACAAUAACGGCGGG